rnacentral:rRNA from 1 species
GAUGAACGCUAGCUACAGGCUUAACACAUGCAAGUCGAGGGACCGGCGCACGGGUGAGUAACACGUAUCCAACCUGCCCUUUACUCGGGGAUAGCCUUUCGAAAGAAAGAUUAAUACCCGAUGUAAAGGAUGGGGAUGCGUUCCAUUAGGUUGUUGGUGAGGUAACGGCUCACCAAGCCUUCGAUGGUUAGGGGUUCUGAGAGGAAGGUCCCCCACAUUGGAACUGAGACACGGUCCAAACGCCUACGGAAGGCAGGAGAGAGUAAUAUAGGGCAAUGGGGGUUAGCCUGAACCAGCCAAGUAGCGGAAAGGAUGAUGCCUUAUGGAUCGUAAACUUCUUUUAUAUAAGAAUAUGUAUUAAAUGAAUAAGGAUCGGCUAACUCCGUGCCAGCAGCCGCGGUAAUUC